rnacentral:ncRNA from 1 species
AGGGGCUUCGCUCUGAGUCGAAGCGCGGACGAGGGAGCAGUACCCGCCCAGCGACAAGACUGCCACGGA